GUCACUGCUGCGCCCUGCAUUCUUCUCCGAAUUGCAGAGCUGAUUGAACUUCUGGUGCGAUUUAAUCCAAUGUUUAGUUUGCUUGUACGGAGUAUUUGCAUGUUCUAACAGUGACGGUCAUGUCUUGUUGCCUUGCCUUCCUGCAGCAGCGGCAGCGUAUGGAGGACGAGGUGGCGGUCAAGCUGAGGAGGUUGGAGCGCCACCGCGCCGCGGCGUUGGCGAGCCACGCGCUCGCUCCUCUUUCCGCAUGGAGGAUCACCUCUCGUUUCUCCUUCCCUGCCGCUUCUUCUCCGUCCAGUUGGGUUGAGGAAUCAUAAGAGCUGAUGAAGCGUGCACUGAGCUUUCCUUUGGAGCAAGGAGCUUUCCAUUUUUUAGUAUGUUACUCCUUAAUUCCUUUGUAAACCUGCGCAUUGAUUAAUCAAGUGUGCUUCUACAUGUUGUUAUCUUUGAUUGGUUUGUUUUUUUAUUAUUC
rnacentral:lncRNA from 1 species